UGGGGAAUAUUGCACAAUGGGGGGAACCCUGAUGCAGCGAUGCCGCGUGGAGGAAGAAGGUUUUCGGAUUGUAAACUCCUGUCGUAAGGGAAGAAAAGGACGGUACCUUACAAGAAAGCUCCGGCUAACUACGUGCC
rnacentral:rRNA from 1 species